AUGUCCACCAGCUUUUGCCUGGUUCGUCCUCAAACCACAUCGUAUUAAGAGAGAUGUUUGGUCUAAUACUAUUUGUAACAUCCCUGAUUGUUGACUUUUCGACUGCUCGCACUCUAUUCUCCUACUUCUAGGAUCAAUGAUUGUCCUCACAAACUAACACGAGACUUUUCAGUAUGUUUUGUCCUCACUCACACGCUUUCUGGAAAACUUCCUAGAAGGUCACCCAUCCCAUUACUACUCCAUGUCAAGCACGUUUAAGUGUGGAGUUCUUGUGUAAUAGGCUACUAAAAAGUU
rnacentral:lncRNA from 1 species